UACGUAGGGGGCAAGCGUUGUCCGGAAUCAUUGGGCGUAAAGCGCGUGUAGGCGGCUCGAUAAGUCUGCUGUAAAAGUCCAGGGCUCAACCCUGGAAAGCCGGUGGAAACUGUCGAGCUAGAGUCCGGAAGAGGCGAGUGGAAUUCCUGGUGUAGCGGUGAAAUGCGCAGAUAUCAGGAGGAACACCAAUGGCGAAGGCAGCUCGCUGGGACGGUACUGACGCUGAGGUGCGAAAGCGUGGGGAGCAAACAGG
rnacentral:rRNA from 1 species